GACGAACGCUGGCGGCGUGCCUAAUACAUGCAAGUCGAGCGAAGUUUUUCUGGUGCUUGCACCGAAAAACUUAGCGGCGAACGGGUGAGUAACACGUAAAGAACCUGCCUCAUAGACUGGGACAACUAUUGGAAACGAUAGCUAAUACCGGAUAAUAGCAUUAACUGCAUGGUUGAUGUUUAAAAGUUGGUUUUGCUAACACUAUGAGAUGGCUUUGCGGUGCUUUAGCUAGUUGGUGGGGUAAAGGCCUACCAAGGCGACGAUGCAUAGCCGACCUGAGAGGGUGAUCGGCCACACUGGGACUGAGACACGGCCCAGACUCCUACGGGAGGCAGCAGUAGGGAAUCUUCCGCAAUGGGCGAAAGCCUGACGGAGCAACGCCGCGUGAGUGAAGAAGGAUUUCGGUUCGUAAAGCUCUGUUGUUAGGGAAGAAUGAUUGUGUAGUAACUAUACACAGUAGAGACGGUACCUAACCAGAAAGCCACGGCUAACUACGUG
rnacentral:rRNA from 1 species